rnacentral:rRNA from 1 species
CAGUAGCCGCGGGAAAACGAAGGGGGCUAGCGUUGCUCGGAAUUACUGGGCGUAAAGGGCGCGUAGGCGGACAGUUCAGUCGGGGGUGAAAGCCCGGGGCUCAACCUCGGAAUUGCCUUCGAUACUGGCUGUCUUGAGUAUGAGAGAGGUGUGUGGAACUCCGAGUGUAGAGGUGAAAUUCGUAGAUAUUCGGAAGAACACCAGUGGCGAAGGCGACACACUGGCUCAUUACUGACGCUGAGGCGCGAAAGCGUGGGGAGCAAACAGGAUUAGAUACCCGCGUAGUCCCUGUCUCUUAUAC